rnacentral:rRNA from 1 species
GCGGACGGGUGAGUAAUGCGUAGGAAGCUACCCGAUAGAGGGGGAUACCAGUUGGAAACGACUGUUAAUACCGCAUAAUGUCUACGGACCAAAGUGUGGGACCUUCGGGCCACAUGCUAUCNNNNNNGCCUACNNNNNNNUAGCUAGUUGGUGAGGUAAUGGCUCACCAAGGCGNCGAUCCCUAGCUGGUUUGAGAGGAUGAUCAGCCACACUGGAACUGAGACACGGUCCAGACUCCUACGGGAGGCAGCAGUGGGGAAUAUUGGACAAUGGGCGCAAGCCUGAUCCAGCCAUGCCGCGUGUGUGAAGAAGGCCUUCGGGUUGUAAAGCACUUUCAGUAGGGAGGAAGCGUUGUGUGUUAAUAGUACACAGCGUUGACGUUACCUACAGAAGAAGCACCGGCUAACUCUGUGCCAGCAGCCGCGGUAAUACAGAGGGUGCAAGCGUUAAUCGGAAUUACUGGGCGUAAAGCGCACGUAGGCGGUUUUUUAAGUCAGAUGUGAAAGNCCCGGGCUCAACCUGGGAAUUGCAUUUGAAACUGGAAAACUAGAGUGUGUGAGAGGUGGGUAGAAUUCCAAGUGUAGC